UACGUAGGGGGCAAGCGUUGUCCGGAUUUACUGGGCGUAAAGCGCGUGUAGGCGGGAGGCCAAGUCUGCGGUGAAAUCGCUCGGCUCAACUGGGCGGGGUCCGUGGAAACUGGUCACCUGGAGGACGGUAGAGGCGAGUGGAAUUCCCGGUGUAGUGGUGAAAUGCGUAGAGAUCGGGAGGAACACCAGUGGCGAAGGCGGCUCGCUGGGCCGGACCUGACGCUGAGACGCGAAAGCUAGGGGAGCGAACGGG
rnacentral:rRNA from 1 species